GCUGGUUCUCUCCGAAAUAGCUUUAGGGCUAGCCUUGGAAUAGAUUACUGGAGGUAAAGCACUGAAUUGGCUAGGGGCCGAGAGGUUACUGAACCUUAUCAAACUAAGAAUGCCAGAUAAUCGUUUUCCAGGAGUCAGACAGUGGGAGAUAAGUUUCAUUGUCAAAAGGGAAACAGCCCAGACCUACAGCUAAGGUCCCAAAUGUAUGCUAAGUGGAAAACGAUGUGGAAUUGCGUAGACAACCAGGAUGUUGGCUUAGAAGCAGCCACUCAUUAAAAGAGUGCGUAAUAGCUCACUGGUCGAGUGAUUCUGCGCCGAAAAUUUAACGGGGCUAAACUAUACACCGAAGCUUAGGAUACCGCAAGGUAUGGUAGGAGAGCGUUCUGUACGGAGUGAAGUCGUAGCGAAAGCGGCGGUGGACUGUACAGAAGUGAGAAUGCCGGAAUAAGUAGCGAGAAUUAAGUGAGAAUCUUAAUGGCCGAAAGUCUAAGGUUUUUGGAGGAAGGUUCGUCCGCUCCAAGUAAGUCGGGAGCUAAGGUCAGGCCGAAAGGCGUAGCCGAUGCACAAACGGUUGAUAUUCCGUUACCGUCUACAAUUUAAACAAGGGGACACAUACAAAGCGUUUAACCCGGGCGAUGGUUGACCCGGGCGCAAGGGACUGAAAUUAGAGUAGGGAAGUAAAUGUAGCGUAUGGCGAGAAAAGCUUUGUGUAUAGAAGUAGACGCCCGUACCGCAAACCGACACAGGUGGACAGGAAGAGAAUUCUAAGGCCAGCGGGAGAAGGGUAGUUAAGGAACUCGGCAAAUUGACUCCGUAACUUCGGAAUAAGGAGUGCUCGAAAGAGCCGCAGAGAAUAGGCCCAGGCGACUGUUUAGCAAAAACACAGGUCUCUGCCAAAUCGAAAGAUGAAGUAUAGGGGCUGACACCUGCCCGGUGCCGGAAGGUUAAGAGGAGGAGUGCAAGCUCCGAAUUGAAGCCCCGGUAAACGGCGGCCGUAACUAUAACGGUCCUAAGGUAGCGAAAUUCCUUGUCGGGUAAGUUCCGACCCGCACGAAUGGUGUAACGAUCUGGGCACUGUCUCAACUACCCACCCGGCGAAAUUGUAGUACCGGUGAAGAUGCCGGUUACCUGCGGCAAGACGGAAAGACCCCAUGGAGCUUUACUGUAGCCUGAUAUUGGGUUUCGGAAAUCUAUGUACAGGAUAGGCGGGAGACUGGGAAGUAUGAGCGUCAGCUUAUACGGAGUCAUUGUUGGGAUACCGCCCUUAGGUUUCUGGAAUUCUAACCUGCGACCGUGAAUCCGGUCGGGGGACAUUGUCAGGUGGGCAGUUUGACUGGGGCGGUCGCCUCCGAAAAGGUAACGGAGGCGCUCAAAGGUUGGCUCAGCACGGACGGAAACCGUGCCUCAGAGUGUAAACGCAAAAGCCAGCCUAACUGCGAGGAUGACGGUCCGAGCAGUAACGAAAGUUGGAGUUAGUGAUCCGGCGGUAUGUGAAUGGAAAUGCCGUCGCUCAACGGAUAAAAGCUACCCUGGGGAUAACAGGCUGAUCUCCCCCAA
rnacentral:rRNA from 1 species